rnacentral:snoRNA from 10 species
GCUCUGUGAUGAAUCCCAUGCGUGUCAUCUGAGCCUGAAAUCCCUGAGGUCUCUGCCCGGGUAGUGUUCUACUUCCUAGGGUUAGUGUCUAACCUUGCAAGGGGUCUUCAGGCAGAGGAUCAGUCUUUGUAUUCUGAGAGC